rnacentral:rRNA from 1 species
GAUGAACGCUAGCUACAGGCUUAACACAUGCAAGUCGAGGGGUAACGAGAGGAAAGCUUGCUUUCCUUGUCGACGACCGGCGCACGGGUGAGUAACGCGUAUCCAACCUGCCCCCAACUAGGGAAUAACCUUGCGAAAGUAAGACUAAUACCCUAUACUUUCCUCAGAUGUCAUCUGACGAGGAAUAAAGAUUUAUCGGUUGUGGAUGGGGAUGCGUCUGAUUAGCUUGUUGGCGGGGUAACGGCCCACCAAGGCAACGAUCAGUAGGGGUUCUGAGAGGAAGGUCCCCCACAUUGGAACUGAGACACGGUCCAAACUCCUACGGGAGGCAGCAGUGAGGAAUAUUGGUCAAUGGGCGGAGGCCUGAACCAGCCAAGUAGCGUGCAGGAUGACGGCCCUAUGGGUUGUAAACUGCUUUUAUACAGGAAUAAAGUUAGCCACGUGUGGUUAUUUGUAGGUACUGUAUGAAUAAGGACCGGCUAAUUCCGUGCCAGCCGCCGCGGUAA